UGGUUGACCUCGGAUCAGGUAGGGAUACCCGCUGAACUUAAGCAUAUCAAUAAGCGGAGGAAAAGAAACCAACAGGGAUUACCUCAGUAACGGCGAGUGAAGCGGUAAAAGCUCAAAUUUGAAAUCUGGCUCUUUCAGAGUCCGAGUUGUAAUUUGUAGAAGAUGCUUCGGGUGUGGUUCCGGUCUAAGUUCCUUGGAACAGGACGUCAUAGAGGGUGAGAAUCCCGUAUGUGACUGGAUACCUAUGCUCAUGUGAAGCUCUUUCGACGAGUCGAGUUGUUUGGGAAUGCAGCUCAAAAUGGGUGGUAUAUUUCAUCUAAAGCUAAAUAUUGGCCAGAGACCGAUAGCGCACAAGUAGAGUGAUCGAAAGAUGAAAAGCACUUUGGAAAGAGAGUUAAACAGUACGUGAAAUUGUUGAAAGGGAAGCGCUUGCAAUCAGACUUGCACUUGGUGUUCAUCGGGGUUUCUACCCCGUGUACUUCAUCAAGUUCAGGCCAGCAUCAGUUUGGGUGGUUAGAUAAAGGCUUAGAGAAUGUGGCCCUCUUCGGGGGGUGUUAUAGCUCUAGGUGCAAUGUAGCCUACCUGGACUGAGGACCGCGCUUCGGCUAGGAUGCUGGCGUAAUGAU
rnacentral:rRNA from 1 species